UACGGAAGGGGGCUAGCGUUGCUCGGAAUCGACUGGACGUAAGCGCACGUAGGCGGAUUGUUAAGUCAGGGGUGAAAUCCUGGAGCUCAACUCCAGAACUGCCUUUGAUACUGGCGAUCUCGAGUCCGGGAGAGGUGAGUGGAACUGCGAGUGUAGAGGUGAAAUUCGUAGAUAUUCGCAAGAACACCAGUGGCGAAGGCGGCUCACUGGCCCGGUACUGACGCUGAGGUGCGAAAGCGUGGGGAGCAAACAGG
rnacentral:rRNA from 1 species